rnacentral:rRNA from 1 species
UACAGAGGUGGCGAGCGUUACUCGGAUUUAUUGGGUGUAAAGGGCAAGUAGGUGUCCUGACAAGUUAGAAGUGAAAUCCUGCAGCUUAACUGCAGAACUGCUUUUAAAACUGUCGGGAUUGAGUCUGGGAGAGGAAAGCGGAAUUCUCGGUGUAAGAGUGAAAUCUGUAGAUAUCGAGAGGAACACCAGUGGCGAAGGCGGCUUUCUGGCCUAGUACUGACACUGAAUUGCGAAAGCUCGGGGAG